AAUAAAAUUACAAUAAUUUUUAUUUCUUCGAAAAUGUGUUUUGUACAUAUAAUAGAUUUACAAUAUUUUUUGUUGUUUGUCACAUUUUUGUUUGUUGUUUUGUUUUCUUUAGAUUUAACUAUUUGUAAUUUACGAAAAUUUGUGCUGUUUCUUAAAGAGCAUGCAGGUAGGAAACUCGGCAAAAAGAUUAUCUUUUCAAUUAUUUAUAUAAUAUAAAACUUGUCAUCUACAUUUCCAGAAAUUUACAAGAUUGUGAGAAUCCAGCUUUUGACGGUCGAUGCCAAGAAGGUGAAGUUUAUCAUCGCUGCAUGGUUGCAAAAUCCGCAAAAUUGAGUUCCGCUGCCGGGUGUCGGUGCCUAUAGGCAAGCAGCGCAACGAGAACGGCCAGAACAAUGUGUCGAUGAUGGGAUUCGAACAUUGAAAGGGCGAGAGACAUGAGCGACCGGACCAUCACUGACGAUCGCGACCGGGAGGAACAUCACCGCGACUAGAGGAGGUUGGAGGUGAGCGUGAUGUUAUUGUCAUUCGUUCAACCACCCCUCCUCAAUACUACCCAGAGCGGAAAAGUGGUUCAACGUCCAACGUGUGCGAUAUGUGAUCCGUCGCCUAAACUCAAAGGCUUGAUAGAAAAGAAAAUGAUAGAAAACGACAAAAUAGGUUCGAUUUAACAAACAUACAGCUGAAUAAUAAGGAGGAUACGCGCCAAGUUGGUACACAAGUCGUCGAGGAUGACUACGAAGGAAAACAUGAAGGUGAACUGGAGUUGAGCCACUCAGUCCUAGAGGACAAUCCAGAUUACAAGGCCACUCGCGAUGAAAGUAGGAAAGGGUCGGUGCGUGUAUCCGGGAAUCAGUCAUAAAAAAGAACAUCGGACGAAGACACCUGAAACUAAAGCACUUCAAGCAGAUAUUUCUUCCGGUUUCAGUGGAAACUAAGGACGCUUUACAUAGAGUGUGGAUCGAACUGCUCGACUAAACGGUGUUGCUGCAAGAAGUUGUACGAAAUUAGAUAGAUAUUUUUUGAAACUACGGGAGGAAAAAAAAAUUAGGUGACAUAGAAUGGCGUUCGUUAGCGCUCGCUGAAUAACCGCAAAUUGUAAUGUUCAUAACGAAGAAUUCUAUUUCCGAGAAGAUCUAUUAAUAAUAUAUUAUAUUGCAUUGAUGGUAGGGCGAUUUGAUUUUUACGCAGAUUAUUGUUUAUGUAACAAAAGAAUAUUUGUAUGCUUGUCCAAACAUUCAAUCAGUGCCUUUAAACUUUUUGAACCGAACAUAAGUGCAUGUUUGAAUGAAUACAUUGAACGAUAAGGAUUGAAAUCAUAGAACAGUUACGAGAAUAUACAUAAUAGAGAAAGAAACAAAAGAAAAAUCUGCUGAAUUCGGCAUCAAUUGUUUUUUAUCUACCAUUAUCAUUAUAUAUAUAUACUUCUAGUUAUUAGUGCAAUAUGCUGAGUUGAGGAAAUAAAAUUAACAUUACAGUAUACAUACAUCAUACCGUGCACACUUAAUUUUUUUUGCCGUGAUCUCAGCGAAAUGCUCAACUUUUACCGAGAUUCGCACAGCCGUGCCCCAGCAAACAUGUUUUUUGCCGAGAUUUCUGUCAAAAUAGCUGAAAAUCAGCAAUUAAUUUGCCGCAAAUCAGCUAACAAACGUCAUUUUUGCCGGGAUAUCAGCUUUUUAUUUUGCUGGCGCACGGCUGUGCGGAUUUUUGCCGAGCUGCAGAAGUAAAAACUAAGUGUGUGGUAUAUAAUCUCAUUGACAAUGUUUAAUUUACAUUUAUCAAGCUAUAAUCCCACGAAAAAAAAUUCGUUUUAUUGUCUUGCAAACUAACAAUAAGCCUUUUUUAUUAUAAAAACAAUUGAUAAACAAUAAAAGUAAUAGUUUUGGUCAAAGAACUAUAACAAUAUCGGAACAAUAGAAAUAAUUGUUUUGUGUUCUAAAAUGUAUGAGAAAAAAAGGAUUUUUUUACUGUGUUACCGACCAAUCGGAACCAAUUUAAUUAAACCCACGUUAUGGAAGUCAAGUGGCAAUAGAUAGUUAGCUUUGAUGGAUAGGAGCUUUGUAACGAUGUAAUUAAAUUUAAAAUUUUCCGUGUAAUAUCCCUUGCUACGUCCGCGAUAGGAAUGAGUACGUCUCACAUCUUAAAAACAAAUUGUAACCUAUUUAUAUCUACGAGAGUGGCAUCCUUGCCUUUAAUGACAGUUCCGGUAAUAAGAAAGAGAAGGAGGAGAGAAGAGAAGAAGGAGAGAGUGAGGAAGGAAGAAAACGGGAGAGCUGACGAGAGGAAAACGAAAAGGGGGCAGAAAGUGUCUGAUCCUCGACGGUUACGGUGUUCGAUCCGAAUGAUAUUAAAAAAGAAAAGAGAAGUGGUUGACAAGUUUGGAAGCUAACAAGUUUGGAAGGAGUGUGAUUGCCAGAAUCCUUGGCGAACCGGGAAAGUGUUCCGGUGAAGAGAAAACCGGUUGUUGUGAAAGGGACGGUCCUCGAGAAAGCUGGGCACUACCGCGUGAGAGUCCAUUCGGCGGGAUUGGCCAGUUGGCGAAGAAGGCGGAACUCGACAAAGCCGGGAAGAAAAGCGUGGUAGUGUCCCUUCGGUGGAGAUUGCCAGUUGGCGAAGAAGACGGAAUUUCCAAACGCCGGCCCGGAACCGUAGUGGAGCGGAUGUCAUCAGCCACCAUUCUCUAAAAGCCGUCAUUGGGAAGGUCGGCGAGCUCAGUACCGGUGGUCAGUGAGUGACGCUAUCGCUGAAUCACACGCCACGAGGGUACGGUGACGAACGUUUUCGCGGUGAGGGCGACGGUGAGGUCCGAGGGCAUGCCCCGCUUGCCGCCGCUCAACAUCCUAUGAGUCACCACCCCGUCUGCGGGCGCUGAGACGUCGACCAAGGUUCAACAAGCUCCGAAAACCAACAUCCCUCCGCAAAUCGACAGCAGAACACCCUGUUACGAACCACCAAGGAACUCGGAACAGCCGAUCGUCAUCCAUGACCCAGAGGGACUACCCGAAGUCCGACUGCCCACGACGGAGUGCUUCAAAUUGCGAUUGUGGAUCAGAUGUGUGAAGCAGACCGUUGGGCAAGUAACCAAUUUGUUCCUCUCCUUCUCUCUCAAUAUGCACGUGCACGGCCGCAACGAUUCUUUUUUUUCUGACUAUGGAUUACUUUAUAAAUAAAUAUGUUUAAGCCUAA